rnacentral:rRNA from 1 species
UACGGGGGGGGGUAAGCGUUGUUCGGAAUUACUGGGCGUAAAGGGCUCGUAGGCGGCCAACUAAGUCAGACGUGAAAUCCCUCAGCUUAACUGGGGAACUGCGUCUGAUACUGGAUGGCUUGGAUUCGGGAGAGGAUCGCGGAAUUCCCGGUGUAGAGGUGAAAUUCGUAGAUAUCGGGAGGAACACCAGUGGCGAAGGCGGCGAUCUGGGAAGAUACUGACGCUGAGGUGCGAAAGCGUGGGGAGCAAACAGG